UGCGUAGGCGGUUUUGUAUGUCGGAUGUGAAAGCCCAUGGCUCAACCAUGGAAUUGCAUUCGAAACUGCAGAACUUGAGUGCAGGAGGGGAGAGCGGAAUUCUUGGUGUAGCGGUGAAAUGCGUUGAUAUCAAGAAGAACACCGGUGGCGAAGGCGGCUCUCUGGAAUGUUACUGACGCUGAUGCACGAAAGCUGGGGGAGCGAACA
rnacentral:rRNA from 1 species